AAUAGAUACCCCGGUAGUCCUGGCCCUAAACGAUGAAUGCUUGGUGUGGCGGGUAUCGAUCCCUGCCGUGCCGAAGUUAACGCGAUAAGCAUUCCGCCUGGGGAGUACGGCCGCAAGGCUGAAACUCAAAGGAAUUGACGGGGGCCCGCACAAGCGGUGGAGCAUGUGGUUCAAUUCGACGCAACGCGAAGAACCUUACCUGGGCUCGAAAUGCAGAUGACCAUCGGCGAAAGUCGACUUCCGCAAGGACAACUGUAUAGGUGCUGCAUGGCUGUCGUCAGCUCGUGUCGUGAGAUGUUGGGUUAAGUCCCGCAACGAGCGCAACCCUUGUUCUCUGUUGCCAUCAGGUCAAGCUGGGCACUCUGAGGAGACUGCCGGUGACAAACCGGAGGAAGGUGGGGAUGACGUCAAGUCAGCAUGGCCUUUAUGUCCAGGGCUACACACGUGCUACAAUGGCCGGUACAAAGCGCUGCAAGCCCGCGAGGUAAGCCAAUCGCAUAAAGCCGGUCUCU
rnacentral:rRNA from 1 species